AGACACACACCAAGCGAUAUCACUAUGCAUCAUGAACAACAUCAUGUCUACUAUUUCGGUUGACAAGGAGGUUGAGAUUUUCAACAACGUUAGACGAUUCCAAGAUGUCUUGCCAAAUGUGGAAUUGACUGAGGGAACCUUUAGACUAUUUUGCCAGCUGGCAUUUGUGUACCUGGAAUCAACUGGAGUGUACACCAAUAUGUGACACUGGAAAGGGAAGGACUAGACACCUCAGUGCAUUUUUUAAUGUUUUAGAGACACUUCAGCACAAUGCUUAAUUAUUUAGAGACAGCCGAGUACAUUGUUUAAUGUUUUAGAGACACCCCAGUACAUUAUAUAAUGUUGUACAGACACUUCAAUAUAUUUUUUCUGUUUUAGAGGCACAUCAGUACAUUGUGUGAUGUUUUAUUGUUUGAUGUUCUAGAGACACCACUGUAUAUUGUGUGGUUUUAUUGUUCGAUGUUCUAGAGACACCACAGUACACUGUGUGAUGUUUUAUUGUUUCAUGUUCUAGAGACACCACAGUACAUUGUGUUAUGUCUUAUUGUUUCAUGUUCUAGUGACGUCACAGUACAUUGUGUGAUGUUUUAUUGUUUGAUGUUUUAGAGACACCACUGUACAUUGUGUGAUGUUUUAUUGUUUGAUGUUCUAGAGACACCACAGUACAUUGUGUGAAGUUUUAUUGUUUGAUGUUCUAGACACCACUGUACAUUGUGUGAUGUGUUAUUGUUUGGUGUUCUAGAGACACCACUGUACACUGUGUGAUGUUUAAUUGUCUGAUGUUCUAAAGACACUGCAGUACAUUCUUUGAUGUUUCAACAAACGAUCAGGAUGGAAUCAGAAUCAUUCCAUCACAUUUCUUCUAUCAAAUAUAUCUUUUCUAGUUUGCUUCAGAUGAUUGCAUUUCACCAAAAUGUGAUGUAUUGUUAGAUUACACUGACAGUACUCACAUUGAGGUGGGUGAUCUUUCUUCAAGAUAAAUAAAUGGGUCAAUAAUGUAUGACCAAUGCGAACACAGCGCAAUACUAGUUCAUCCAUGCUGCACCGCCUAUAUGAGGACUGCCACUCACUGGACUGUUUUUGUUACAUAAUGAAGCUUGUCCAUUACCACGUUGUUCCAAUCAUCUUGCCAAGUUGAAAAGAUAAAUUGGUUAAUGCUGUUUAAAAUGGGUAUAAGCUACACAAACCUUGGCAUGAGGCAAAUCCAAAGCAGACCUGGUAGCUGAAUCUGCCUGUUCGUUACCUCCGAUGCCAUCAUAGCUGAGCACCCAACAAAAUAUAAUGUCUUUAUUGGCAAUGGAUAAAAAGACACAUUUCUGUAUCACCAAUCCAAUCAAGGGAUGUUCCAGCUUCAUAUUAGAUAACGCUUGAAGACACGAAACUGAAUCUGUGAAUAUAAUAAAUAUGCAUCAGAGAAAUGGUGCAGAUGUAUGCUAAAGUGCGACACAGAACUCUGACAACUUACACUAAGUGGUAGUGCCGUAGAGAGCAACAUCUAAAAUUCAAAACCGUGUAUAUAAAAAUAACAUAAAGAUUAACAUUGAUAUUGUAUAUUUGUGAUAGUUUUAUUGGAUGUUAACUUGGCUAAUUAAAAUUUAGUAAUGUGUUUGCCUAACUAAUGAACUAAUUUAUAUAAUUGUAAAAAAAUGCCUGACGAAUAAUGUAACAUUUCCAAUAUUAAAACCAUUUUGGUUUUAGUUAUUUGAUUCAGAUAUGGAAGAAAGAAUCAAGAAGUCAUUUACAAUGAUGUAUCCUAUAAAACAAUGGUAAAGGGGUGGAUUCUGACCAGGCAUGUAUGAAUUAAUGUUCUAUGCCUUUAAAUAAAACCAAAAACAAGGAAUAGCCUAGCUUGUAAAACAGCCAACAUUGUCAUCUAAAAUAAUGCAUUUAUUUGAGGCUUGAAAAUAAAAAUUGCACUCAAGACCCUCCCCACCCACACCCUCAACAAACAGCUCUCCCAAUCCCAAUAUCGACAUUGGUGGGGAGAAAAAGGAAACAAACCAACAACAACAAAACAACAACAAAAAGAAAAAAAAAGAAGAAGAAUGAAACGUGAACAAAAAUUAAACAAAACACCAAAAGAAAGCAACAAAGAGAUUUUCCACAAUUUACUAGAAUACACUUUCCUAUAAUACAAUAAAUAGUAAUAUUUUAUAUGCAUUCAAUAGCUUUAUUGCUAUUAAUAUAAAUAAUAAAAUAUUACUUAAUAACACAUGUUGUUUGAUUCCGUGAGAUGGGUUUUGGAGAGGAGUUUAAUGUAACCUGUCUAAGGAUAGAAUAAAACAAAAGUUACACAAUAAGCUAACAGCAAGCAAACUCUGGAAAUAAAAUUUACAUUAAUUACACAAUAAGCUAAUAGCAGGUAAUAUAUAUAUAUAUAUAUAUAUAUAUAUAUAUAUAUAUAUAUA